UACAGAGGUGUCAAACGUUGUCCGGAAUUACUGGGCGUAAAGGGCGCGUAGGCGGCCUUAUAAGUCAGAUGUGAAAGCUCUGGGCUCAGCCCAGGAAUUGCAUCUGAUACUGUAAGGCUUGAGUUCGGUAGAGGAGGGCGGAAUUCCAGGUGUAGCGGUGAAAUGCGUAGAUAUCUGGAGGAACACCCGUGGCGAAGGCGGCUCUCUGGUCCGAAACUGACGCUGAGGUGCGAAAGCUAGGGUAGCAAACAGG
rnacentral:rRNA from 1 species